AUUGAACGCUGGCGGCAUGCCUUACACAUGCAAGUCGAACGGUAACGGGCCUCUUGGUGCCGGCGAGUGGCGAACGGGUGAGUAAUACAUCGGAACGUGCCCGAUCGUGGGGGAUAACGAGGCGAAAGCUUUGCUAAUAUCGCAUACGAUCUACGGAUGAGAGCAGGGGACCGCAAGGGCUUGCGCGGACGGAGCGGCCGAUGGCAGAUUAGGUAGAUGGUGGGAUAAAAGCUUACCAAGCCGACGAUCUGUAGCUGGUCUGAGAGGAUGAUCAGCCACACUGGGACUGAGACACGGCCCAGACUCCUACGGGAGGCAGCAGUGGGGAAUUUUGGACAAUGGGCGCAAGCCUGAUCCAGCCAUGCCGCGUGCAGGAUGAAGGCCUUCGGGUUGUAAACUGCUUUUGUACGGAACGAAAAGCCUUCUUUUAAUACAGGGGGGUCAUGACGGUACCGGAAGAAUAAGCACCGGCUAACUACGUG
rnacentral:rRNA from 1 species